AUUUAUCUAAUAUAAAAAGUAUAGUUGACUUCCAAUCAAAAAGCUUGUAAUUAUUACAAGGUAAAUA
rnacentral:tRNA from 1 species